rnacentral:rRNA from 1 species
CAGUAGCCACGGUAAUACGAAGGGGGCUAGCGUUGUUCGGAUUUACUGGGCGUAAAGGGCGCGUAGGCGGACUGAUAAGUCAGGGGUGAAAUCCCAAGGCUCAACCUUGGAACUGCCUUUGAUACUGUUUGUCUUGAGUUCGAGAGAGGUAAGUGGAACUGCGAGUGUAGAGGUGAAAUUCGUAGAUAUUCGCAAGAACACCAGUGGCGAAGGCGGCUUACUGGCUCGAAACUGACGCUGAGGCGCGAAAGCGUGGGGAGCAAACAGGAUUAGAUACCCCGGUAGUCCCUGUCUCUUAUAC